rnacentral:rRNA from 1 species
UACGGAGGAUCCAAGCGUUAUCCGGAUUUAUUGGGUUUAAAGGGUGCGUAGGCGGCUUAUUAAGUCAGUGGUGAAAGCCUUCAGCUUAACUGAAGAAUUGCCAUUGAUACUGAUGAGCUUGAAUAUACUUGAGGUGGGCGGAAUGUGUCAUGUAGCGGUGAAAUGCUUAGAUAUGACACAGAACACCGAUUGCGAAGGCAGCUCGCUAAAGUAUGAUUGACGCUGAUGCACGAAAGCGUGGGGAGCAAACAGG